GCCCGCCUAGCUCAAUCGGAUAGAGCGUCAGACUUUUAUAUUAGAGGCAUUGUCGAGUUCUCCUUACAUUUGAAGGCUGCGAGUUCGACCCUCGCGGUGGGCU